CAGCAGCCGCGGUAACACGUAGGGUGCGAGCGUUGUCCGGAAUUAUUGGGCGUAAAGAGCUCGUAGGCGGUGUGUCGCGUCGGCCGUGAAAACUUGCAGCUUAACUGUGAGCUUGCGGUCGAUACGGGCAUCACUGGAGUUCGGCAGGGGAGACUGGAAUUCCUGGUGUAGCGGUGAAAUGCGCAGAUAUCAGGAGGAACACCGGUGGCGAAGGCGGGUCUCUGGGCCGAUACUGACGCUGAGGAGCGAAAGCGUGGGGAGCGAACAGGAUUAGAUACCCUGGUAGUCCACGCCGUAAACG
rnacentral:rRNA from 1 species